GGUGAAUGCUGGCGGCGUGGAUGAGGCGUGCAAGUCGAAUGGGUUCAGACCCAUGGCAGACGAGGUAGGAACACGUAGGUACAUACCCUAAAGUCAGGGAUAACCCGGUGAAAGCCGGAGUAAUACCUGAUAGUCCCUUCGGGGUAAAGAUUUAUCGCUUUAGGAAUGGCCUGCGUUCUAUCAGCUUGUUGGUAAGGUAA
rnacentral:rRNA from 1 species